rnacentral:rRNA from 1 species
UACAGAGGGUGCAAGCGUUAAUCGGAAUUACUGGGCGUAAAGCGUGCGUAGACGGUUAUGUAAGUCGGGUGUGAAAUCCCCGGGCUUAACCUGGGAACUGCAUUUGUGACUGCAUAGCUAGGGUGCGGAAGAGGGAAGCGGAAUUUCCGGUGUAGCGGUGAAAUGCGUAGAUAUCGGAAGGAACACCAGUGGCGAAAAGCGGCUUCCUGGUCCAGCACCGACGUCAGGCACGAAAGCGUGGGGAGCAAACAGG